CUGGCACAUCCUGGUGCUGCUGCUGUCCCGCAACUCUUACAGAGCGGAUAGGUGCUGUGAGUGCGGCUGUAGGGGUCACUUGUCACACAGACACGUGACAAUAUAGUGACAAUGGGGGAGUGUCUGCUGUUCCUGGUUUCUCAGCCCCUUUCACUGGGUGUCUCAGACUACCUCAUCAACAGUGCUGAACUGGGAGCUUCUAAAUGAGAACUUUCCUGAAUUAUAUUAAUCUGAUCACAUCUUAAAGGAACAGUCCAGCCCCAAAAUAACAGCAAAUCCCAGAUGAUCAUUUUUGCCUUUGUGGGCCUUGUCAGUGAGGUGCAGUCAUAUUAGUCUAGGUACAUUGGGCAGGGAGUUAUUCUCUCUCUGUAUAUAUUUGUAUUGUAUUAUGACCAUGGGUAAAGUCUCCCUAAGGCUAAUGGGGGAAAACAGAC